rnacentral:rRNA from 2 species
AGAGUUUGAUCCUGGCUCAGAACGAACGCUGGCGGCAGGCCUAAUACAUGCAAGUCGAGCGCAUCCUUCGGGAUGAGCGGCGGACGGGUGAGUAACGCGUGGGAAUAUGCCCUUCUCUAAGGAAUAGCCUCGGGAAACUGAGAGUAAUACCUUAUACGCCCUUCGGGGGAAAGAUUUAUCGGAGAAGGAUUAGCCCGCGUUAGAUUAGGUAGUUGGUGGGGUAAUGGCCUACCAAGCCUACGAUCUAUAGCUGGUUUGAGAGGAUGAUCAGCCACACUGGGACUGAGACACGGCCCAGACUCCUACGGGAGGCAGCAGUAGGGAAUCUUAGACAAUGGGGGAAACCCUGAUCUAGCCAUGCCGCGUGUGUGAUGAAGGCCUUAGGGUCGUAAAGCACUUUCGCCAGAGAUGAUAAUGACAGUAUCUGGUAAAGAAACCCCGGCUAACUCCGUGCCAGCAGCCGCGGUAAUACGGAGGGGGUUAGCGUUGUUCGGAAUUACUGGGCGUAAAGCGCACGUAGGCGGAUUAGUAAGUUAGAGGUGAAAUCCCAGGGCUCAACCCUGGAAACAGCCUUUAAAUUAUGCUUAGUUCUUGAAUUUCGAGGAGAAGGUAAAGCGGAAUUCCCGAGUGUAGAGGUGAAAUUUCGUAGAUAUUCGGAGGAAACACCCAGUGGCGAAGGCGGCUUACUGGGCUCGAUACUGACGCUGAGGUGCGAAAGUGUGGGGAGCAAACAGGAUUAGAUACCCCUGGUAGUCCACACCGUAAACGAUGAAUGCCAGACGUCAGCAAGUAUACUUGUUGGUGUCACACCUAACGGAUUAAGCAUUCCGCCUGGGGAGUACGGUCGCAAGAUUAAAACUCAAAAGGAAUUGACGGGGGCCCGCACAGGCGGUGGAGCAUGUGGUUUAAUUCGACGCAACGCGCAGAACCUUACCAACCCUUGACAUCCCGUGCUACUACCAGAGAUGGUACGUCCCUUUCGGGGACGCCAAUGAACAGGUGCUGCAUGGCUGUCGUCAGCCUCGUGUCGUGAGAUGUUCGGUUAAGUCCGGCAACGAGCGCAACCCACAUCUUUAGUUGCCAUCAGGUUAUGCUGGGCACUCUAGAGAAACUGCCCGUGAUAAGCGGGAGGAAGGUGUGGAUGACGUCAAGUCCUCAUGGCCCUUACGGGUUGGGCUACACACGUGCUACAAUGGCAGUGACAAUGGGUUAAUCCCAAAAAGCUGUCUCAGUUCGGAUUGGGGUCUGCAACUCGACCCCAUGAAGUCGGAAUCGCUAGUAAUCGCGUAACAGCAUGACGCGGUGAAUACGUUCCCGGGCCUUGUACACACCGCCCGUCACACCAUGGGAGUUGGUUCUACCCGACGACGCUGCGCUAACCCUUCGGGGAGGCAGGCGGCCACGGUAGGAUCAGCGACUGGGGUGAAGUCGUAACAAGGUAACC